rnacentral:rRNA from 1 species
AUUGAACGCUGGCGGCAGGCUUAACACAUGCAAGUCGAGCGAGCGGCGGACGGGUGAGUAAUGUCUGGGAAACUGCCUGAUGGAGGGGGAUAACUACUGGAAACGGUAGCUAAUACCGCAUACCAUCAGAUGUGCCCAGAUGGGAUUAGCUAGUAGGUGGGGUAAUGGCUCACCUAGGCGACGAUCCCUAGCUGGUCUGAGAGGAUGACCAGCUAAUCGAGAACGGAUACACGAACCAGACUCCUACGGGAGUCAUCAGUGGCGAAUAUUGCACAAUGGGCGCAAGCCGGAUGCCGCCAUGCCGGGGUUGUGAAGAAGGCCUUCGGGAUAUAAGGCACAUUCAGCGAGGAUGGGUUGCUCGCAGAAGAAGCACCGGCUAGCUCCGUGCGAGCAGCGGCGGUAAUAC